rnacentral:lncRNA from 1 species
AUCGAACCUGCAACCUCAUGGUUCCUAGUUGGAUUCGCUUCCACUGCGCCACGACGGGAACCGCUCAAGCAGUUUGUUUUUUGAAGAAGGAAAUGGCAUUCUAGUGAUGAAGCUCACAUAAUGGCCAAGUGAAUUACUGACAUCAGUGGGAAUGGAGAAGAAGGAAUUAAAAGGACAGGAUUUGGCAACAGGUGGCGGUGAGGAAGUCUUCACAGACCAGAAGAGUGGUGAAAACUCUUUUGCUACCAGACUGCCUGCAGACUUAGUUCUUCGCUUUCUUGUGAACUUUCUUCUGCAUCUGUCCUUUGGCCCACAGUGGAAGACAGGAGAAAGAAGUGGACGUAAGACUCAGGCAAACCAAUUUUGUGAGUUGCUAUGAACGGAGUAUUUGUGUCCCUCCAAGAUGUGUACGUUGAAAUCCUCGCUACCCAGGUGAGGGUUUUAGGAGACGAGCCGCUGGGAGGUGAUCGGGUGGGGAGAGUAGAGCCCUCAUGAACGGGAUGAGUGUCCUUACAGAAGGAGCCCCCAGAAAGGCCCUUCCUCCCUUCCUGCGGUCCCUCCUUCCAGGUUACAGUGAAAAGAUGGGCUCUCUCUGGACAACAAACUGGCCGAAUUUGCGAGCAACUGGGACUUGGACCUCCCAGCUUCCAAACUGAGAAAUGAGUUUCCAGGGUUAGCAUGCCACCCAGUCUCUGGCAGUUGGCUACAUCGGCCUGGAGAGACGAGGCGUUGAGAAGAGCUCUGGGGCAGACAUGAUGGAGGCGGUGAACGCCACUGUCACUGCUAAGUUUCCUGGGCUCCCGGAGUCCUGCAUUCCCGGUCCCUCCAGCCUACACACAGGGAGUCCCACAUGGGGACAGUGGAGUCCAGUAAGGGCCACGGCUUCAACAGACUUUCUAUGACACGGGUCAGCCAAGCUUGACUUCAAGAGCAGGAGUUUCUGACAUAGUCUGAUUGCCCGUUGAAAUUCAGAAGAAAGUUUAAGCAUUGUGAAAGCGAUGGCAUAUGACCUGAUUCCACAAAAUAAAUACUAACACCUGAC